rnacentral:rRNA from 1 species
GAUGAACGCUGGCGGCGUGCCUAAUACAUGCAAGUCGAGCGAACAGAUAAGGAGCUUGCUCCUUUGAAGUUAGCGGCGGACGGGUGAGUAACACGUGGGUAACCUACCUAUAAGACUGGGAUAACUUCGGGAAACCGGAGCUAAUACCGGAUAACAUUUAGAACCGCAUGGUUCUAAAGUGAAGGAUGGUUUUGCUAUCACUUAUAGAUGGACCCGCGCCGUAUUAGCUAGUUGGUAAGGUAACGGCUUACCAAGGCGACGAUACGUAGCCGACCUGAGAGGGUGAUCGGCCACACUGGAACUGAGACACGGUCCAGACUCCUACGGGAGGCAGCAGUAGGGAAUCUUCCGCAAUGGGCGAAAGCCUGACGGAGCAACGCCGCGUGAGUGAUGAAGGGUUUCGGCUCGUAAAACUCUGUUAUUAGGGAAGAACAAAUGUGUAAGUAACUGUGCACAUAUUGACGGUACCUAAUCAGAAAGCCACGGCUAACUACGUGCCAGCAGCCGCGGUAAUACGUAGGUGGCAAGCGUUAUCCGGAAUUAUUGGGCGUAAAGCGCGCGUAGGCGGUUUCUUAAGUCUGAUGUGAAAGCCCACGGCUCAACCGUGGAGGGUCAUUGGAAACUGGGAAACUUGAGUGCAGAAGAGGAAAGUGGAAUUCCAUGUGUAGCGGUGAAAUGCGCAGAGAUAUGGAGGAACACCAGUGGCGAAGGCGACUUUCUGGUCUGUAACUGACGCUGAUGUGCGAAAGCGUGGGGAUCAAACAGGAUUAGAUACCCUGGUAGUCCACGCCGUAAACGAUGAGUGCUAAGUGUUAGGGGGUUUCCGCCCCUUAGUGCUGCAGCUAACGCAUUAAGCACUCCGCCUGGGGAGUACGACCGCAAGGUUGAAACUCAAAGGAAUUGACGGGGACCCGCACAAGCGGUGGAGCAUGUGGUUUAAUUCGAAGCAACGCGAAGAACCUUACCAAAUCUUGACAUCCUUUGAAAACUCUAGAGAUAGAGCCUUCCCUUCGGGGGACAAAGUGACAGGUGGUGCAUGGUUGUCGUCAGCUCGUGUCGUGAGAUGUUGGGUUAAGUCCCGCAACGAGCGCAACCCUUAAGCUUAGUUGCCAUCAUUAAGUUGGGCACUCUAGGUUGACUGCCGGUGACAAACCGGAGGAAGGUGGGGAUGACGUCAAAUCAUCAUGCCCCUUAUGAUUUGGGCUACACACGUGCUACAAUGGACAAUACAAAGGGCAGCUAAACCGCGAGGUCAUGCAAAUCCCAUAAAGUUGUUCUCAGUUCGGAUUGUAGUCUGCAACUCGACUACAUGAAGCUGGAAUCGCUAGUAAUCGUAGAUCAGCAUGCUACGGUGAAUACGUUCCCGGGUCU